rnacentral:rRNA from 1 species
CUAAGAAUAUUCCGCAAUGGACGAAAGUCUGACGGAGCGACGCCGCGUGGAUGAAGAAGGCCGCAAGGUUGUAAAAUCCUUUUGCUGGGGAAGAAUAAGUCCAGGAGGGAAUGCCUGGAUGAUGACAUGAACCGGCGAAUAAGCCCCGGCCAACUACGUGCCAGCAGCCGCGGUAACACGUAGGGGGCAAGCGUUGUUCGGAAUUACUGGGCGUAAAGGGCAUGUAGGCGGUUUAGUAAGCUUGGCGUGAAAGACCACAGCUCAACUGUGGGGUUGCGUUGAGAACUGCUGAACUUGAGUUACGGAGAGGGAGCUAGAAUUCCUGGUGUAGGGGUGGAAUCUGUAGAGAUCGGGAGGAACACCAGCGGCGCAGGCGGCUCACUAGACAGUUUCUGACGCUAAGAUACGAAAGCGUGGGGAGCAAACA